rnacentral:ribozyme from 1 species
ACCAGCGGAGGCUGCAAUGGGAUAGGAUCCGAAACAGCUAUGAGGGUUAAUAUAGGCUCUCCUGUAUAAAACUCCUAUUCGUAAAUCCCUAUUUGUGCAGAGUGGAAUCGUAUGUCAAUACAUAAUCCAAAGUUUGGCUACACGGACUAGCUAUCAAUCCCUCGGACGGUAGGUGCCUGAACAUCGGAGUGAG